GCAUCUCCCUGGAUUCUGUAACAACAUGCUUGUAUUUGUUUUUCUCUGCAGAUAAGUUACUUGAGCAGCUAAUAUCAGGGGUGAGCUAAAAAGAAAACGCAUAUCAUCGUGAACCAUGUACAAGAGUGUCCUUCACGUCAUAAAGCCAGUAGAAGUGAGGAGAGCGCUUUUACGAAUCAAAACUACAAAUGUUGAUGGGGAUAACGAGAACAAAACAGACCCAAUUCAACAAAUUUAGUGAGAUUGAGGUGGUUACACUUGAACCAGUACCAACAGAAUGCCAUCAAAAUGCCAUUUGUCUUCA